rnacentral:rRNA from 1 species
AGUGAGAAUGCCGGAAUGAGUAGCGAGAAUUAUGUGAGAAUCAUAAUGGCCGAAAGACUAAGGUUUUAGAAGGAAGGUUCGUCCGCUUCUAGUCAGCCGGGAGCUAAGGCGAGGCCGAAAGGCGUAGUCGAUGCACAUACGGUGGAGAUUCCGUAGCCGCCAUUAAUUUAAACAGAGGGACACUUUCAAGGGGCAUGACCCGGGCGUUGGUAGACCCGGGCGUAAGGGACCGAAGAUUAGUAGGGAAGCAUGCUUUAAGGAAGGCGAGAAAAGCUCUGUGUAUAGAAGAUGGCGCCCGUACCGCAAACCGACACAGGUAGUCAGGAAGAGAAUUCUAAGGCCAACGGGAGAAGGGUAGUUAAGGAACUCGGCAAAUUGACCCCGUAACUUCGGAAUAAGGGGUGCUCACGAGAGUGAGCCGCAGUGAAUAGGUCCAGGCGACUGUUUAUCAAAAACACAGCUCUCUGCUAAAUCGAAAGAUGACGUAUAGGGGGUGACACCUGCCCGGUGCUGGAAGGUUAAGAGGAAGGGUGCAAGCUCUGAAUUGAAGCCCCAGUAAACGGCGGCCGUAACUAUAACGGUCCUAAGGUAGCGAAAUUCCUUGUCGGGUAAGUUCCGACCCGCACGAAUGGUGUAACGAUCUGGACACUGUCUCAACUACCCACCCGGCGAAAUUGUAGUACCGGUGAAGAUGCCGGUUACCCGCGGCAAGACGGAAAGACCCCAUGGAGCUUUACUGUAACCUGAUAUUGGGUUUCGGUAUUUUAUGUACAGGAUAGGUGGGAGACUAAGAAACUAAGGCGCCAGCCUUAGCGGAGUCGCCCUUGGGAUACCACUCUUAAAGUACUGAAAUUCUAACCUGCGGCCGUGAAUCCGGUCGGGGGACAUUGUCAGGCGGGCAGUUUGACUGGGGCGGUCGCCUCCAAAAGAGUAACGGAGGCGCUCAAAGGUUCGCUCAGCAUGGUCGGAAACCAUGCCUUAGAGUGUAAACGCAAAAGCGAGCCUAACUGCGAGGCUGACGGGCCGAGCAGUAACGAAAGUUGGAGUUAGUGAUCCGGCGGUAUGUGAAUGGAAAUGCCGUCGCUCAACGGAUAAAAGCUACCCUGGGGAUAACAGGCUGAUCUCCCCCAAGAGUCCACAUCGACGGGGAGGUUUGGCACCUCGAUGUCGGCUCAUCGCAUCCUGGGGCUGUAUUCGGUCCCAAGGGUUUGGCUGUUCGCCAAUUAAAGCGGUACGCGAGCUGGGUUCAGAACGUCGUGAGACAGUUCGGUCCCUAUCUGUCGUGGGCG